UACGUAGGGGGGCAAGCGUUGUCCGGAUUUAUUGGGCGUAAAGAGCGUGUAGGCGGCCAGGUAGGUCCGUUGUGAAAACUCGAGGCUCAACCUCGAGACGCCGAUGGAAACCAUCUGGCUAGAGUCCGGAAGAGGAGAGUGGAAUUCCCGGUGUAGCGGUGAAAUGCGCAGAUAUCAGGAGGAACACCGGUGGCGAAGGCGGAUCUCUGGGCCUUACCUGACGCUGAGGAGCGAAAGCAUGGGGAGCAAACAGG
rnacentral:rRNA from 1 species